rnacentral:misc_RNA from 1 species
UGGUUCUGGCAUNGAUGAAGAACGCAGCGAAAUGCGAUAAGUAAUGUGAAUUGCAGAAUUCAGUGAAUCAUCGAAUCUUUGAACGCACAUUGCGCCCGCUAGUAUUCUGGCGGGCAUGCCUGUUCGAGCGUCAUUUCAACCCUCAGGCCCCGCCUGGUGUUGGGGUCCUGCAGUCUUGCAGGCCCUGAAAUGCAGUGGCGAGCCUCCUGUGGUCUCGAGCGUAGUAGUCAUACGUCGCUCCGGGUGCUUCAGGGGACCUCCGCCGUGAAACCCUUCUGUAAUGUUGACCUCGGAUCAGGUAGGAAUACCCGCUGA